rnacentral:rRNA from 1 species
AAUAAAAAUAUCUUUGGUUGGGGCAACCACGAAGAAAAAAUAACCUUCGUAAAAAAAAGAAAUAGACAAAUUUAAAACCUUAAUAUAAUGAUCCGGAAAACUCCGAACAAAGAAAAAAGUUACCGCAGGGAUAACAGCGUUAUUCUCUUUAAGAGCUCGUAUUGACAAGAGAGUUUGCGACCUCGAUGUUGGACCGGGGCACCCAAGAGAUGCAGAAGUCUCUAAAGGUAGGUCUGUUCGACCUUUAAAGCCCUACGCGAUCUGAGUUCAGACCGACGCAAGUCAGGUCAGUUUCUAUCUA